rnacentral:rRNA from 1 species
UGGGGAAUAUUGCACAAUGGGCGCAAGCCUGAUGCAGCCAUGCCGCGUGUGUGAAGAAGGCCUUCGGGUUGUAAAGCACUUUCAGCGGGGAGGAAGGCGAUAAGGUUAAUAACCUCAUCGAUUGACGUAACCCGCAGAAGAAGCACCGGCUAACUCCGUGCCAGCAGCCGCGGUAAUACGGAGGGUGCAAGCGUUAAUCGGAAUUACUGGGCGUAAAGCGCACGCAGGCGGUCUGUCAAGUCGGAUGUGAAAUCCCCGGGCUCAACCUGGGAACUGCAUUCGAAACUGGCAGGCUAGAGUCUUGUAGAGGGGGGUAGAAUUCCAGGUGUAGCGGUGAAAUGCGUAGAGAUCUGGAGGAAUACCGGUGGCGAAGGCGGCCCCCUGGACAAAGACUGACGCUCAGGUGCGAAAGCGUGGGGAGCAAACAGG